GACGAACGCUGGCGGCGUGCCUGACACAUGCAAGUCGGACGGUCCGUGAUUGAUCAAGCUUGCUUGAUUGGUUGUGGAUAGUGGCGGACGGGUGAGUAACGCGUGAACACCUACCCAUUGGAGGGGUACAACCCGUCGAAAGGCGGGCUAAUACCGCGUAAGCCGUGAGGUGAAAGGCUGCUUUUUGGUGGCUGCCGAUGGAUGGGUUCGCGUCCUAUCAGCUGGUUGGUGGGGUAACGGCCUACCAAGGCUAAGACGGGUAGCCGGUCUGAGAGGAUGGCCGGCCACACUGGAACUGAGACACGGUCCAGACUCCUACGGGAGGCAGCAGUGGGGAAUCUUGGGCAAUGGGGGAGACCCUGACCCAGCGACGCCGCGUGAGGGAUGAAGGUUUUCGGAUCGUAAACCUCUGUUGUACGGGAAGAAGGAUGUGACGGUACCGUACGAGUAAGCCCCGGACAAACUCGUGCCAGCAGCCGACGGUAAGCUCGUCUCUA
rnacentral:rRNA from 1 species